GACGAACGCUGGCGGCGUGCCUAAUACAUGCAAGUUGAGCGCUGAAGGUUGGUACUUGUACCCACUGGAUGAGCAGCGAACGGGUGAGUAACGCGUGGGGAAUCUGCCUUUGAGCGGGGGACAACAUUUGGAAACGAAUGCUAAUACCGCAUAAAAACUUUAAACACAAGUUUUAAGUUUGAAAGAUGCAAUUGCAUCACUCAAAGAUGAUCCCGCGUUGUAUUAGCUAGUUGGUGAGGUAAAGGCUCACCAAGGCGAUGAUACAUAGCCGACCUGAGAGGGUGAUCGGCCACAUUGGGACUGAGACACGGCCCAAACUCCUACGGGAGGCAGCAGUAGGGAAUCUUCGGCAAUGGACGAAAGCCUGACCGAGCAACGCCGCGUGAGUGAAGAAGGGUGUCGGAUCGUAAAACUCUGUUGGUAGAGAAGAACGUUGGUGAGAGUGGAAAGCUCAUCAAGUGACGGUAACUACACAGAAAGGGACGGCUAACUACGUG
rnacentral:rRNA from 1 species